AUGAGCAGUGUGUGUCAGAGUGAGAAACAGCACCUGGAUCUCUCAAUUGUGAAGCUGUUGCUCUUGGCACUGCGUCACCCUGACUGCAAACAAAACACCGAGAUUGACUUUGCCUGCGUCCUUCUUAUGCCUACAAAUGUGCCCACUUGCCAGCUUCAGAGCCAGCAGUCCACACCAUGUGCCCAAUGCAAGCCUGAUGCUUCCACACGAGGUCCAGAACUGUCAGUGUUGGGACCAGAGAGACUAAUAGGAAAACUUAAAGUUUUUAAGUCUGCAGCCAGCCAGCCCAGCAGCUCCUCUGGAAGGGUCGUUGUUCCCACCUUCCACCUCUUGCAGAGCAUCCAGACGACGCAGCGGGGAGCUGGGCACUGCUUGCCAGCACUCAGCAAUGUGCUGUUGAAUCACUGGGCCACAAAGUUGAAGAUCAGAGAGAGAAAGUUCAGUUCUUUGAUCCUCGAAGAUAAAAUCUCAGAACUGAAGUCUCUUGACUGUCUGGACUUGUGA
rnacentral:lncRNA from 1 species